AGGGUUUGAUUCUGGCUCAGGAUGAACGCUGGCGGCGUGCCUAACACAUGCAAGUCGAGCGAAGCACUUUGCUUUGAAUCUUUCGGGAGGACGAGUGAUUUGACUGAGCGGCGGACGGGUGAGUAACGCGUGGGUAACCUGCCUCACACAGGGGGAUAACAGUUAGAAAUGACUGCUAAUACCGCAUAAGACCACGGUGUCGCAUGACACAGUGGUAAAAACUCCGGUGGUGUGAGAUGGACCCGCGUCUGAUUAGCUAGUUGGUGAGGUAACGGCUUACCAAGGCGACGAUCAGUAGCCGGCCUGAGAGGGUGGACGGCCACAUUGGGACUGAGACACGGCCCAA
rnacentral:rRNA from 1 species